GUGCUUGCUUCAGCAGCGCAUAUACUAAAAUUGGAACGAUACAGAGAAGAUUAGCAUGGCCCUGUGCAAGGAUGACAUGCAAAUUCGUGAAGCGUUCCAUAUUUUU
rnacentral:snRNA from 1 species